UACGAGAGGUCCAAACGUUAUUCGGAAUCACUGGGCUUACAGAGUUCGUAGGCGGUACGGAAAGUGGGGUGUGAAAGCCCUCGGCUCAACCGAGGAACUGCGCUCCAAACUACCGUGCUAGAGGAAGAUAGAGGUGAGCAGAACUGAUGGUGGAGCGGUGAAAUGCGUUGAUAUCAUCAGGAAUACCGGAGGCGAAGGCGGCUCACUGGGUCUUUUCUGACGCUGAGAAACGAAAGCUAGGGGAGCAAACAGG
rnacentral:rRNA from 1 species